AUGUUUGCCGAAGUCAUUAAACCCUCCCACCUAGAGGAAAGGAAUCGAAGGUUUCUAGGUGACCUGCGGAAGGAUCAUUGAAUUUCAAAACCACAAUGUGAACCUGUUUGUCCCACGCUUUUGCAUAGCGCGGUGCCCUGCGCUGGCGGCCUGGGAUUGCACUCGCAAGGGUGCAUUCUUGGGGUUAUCUGUGCAAUUGCGUGUUUUUCCCACACCCAGUGUUUUCACUGAGUUGUGCCUUUCUUGGGCGCAGCCAAACCAAACUCUGAAGAAAGGUUGUCAUACACUGACAAUCACAAACGAAAACAACUCUCAACAACGGAUAUCUUGGCUCUCGCAACGAUGAAGAACGCAGCGAAAUGCGAUACGUAGUGUGAAUUGCAGAAUUCCGUGAACCAUCGAAUCUUUGAACGCAUAUUGCGCUCGAGCCUUCGGGCAAGAGCAUGUCUGCCUCAGCGUCGGUUUACACCCUCACACCCCUGUCUUUUUGAUAGCGUCAAGCCUAAUUCUAGGCUUGCGGGUGUGGAAUUGGCUUCCUCAAUCGAUCUUGUAAUUGAUUGGGUUGGCUGAAGUUUAGAGGCUUGAGCAAGGACCCGUUAUGGGCAUCAACUGGAUAGGUAGUGCCAGCCAUUCGGCUGUCUACACGAAGUUGUUGCUUGUGGACUUUGCUGGGGGCCAGCAGGAAACACGCUUUUGCGUGCCCUAAACUUUCGACCUGAGCUCAGACAAGACUACGGACUGAACUUAAGCAUAUCAAUAAGUCCAGGAAAAGAAACUAACCAGGAUGCGCUUAGUAACGGCGAGCGAACCGCGCAAAGCCCAACUUGAAAAUCUCCCUUUGGAGAAUUGUAGUCUAUAGAAGCAUCCUCUGCAACAGACGGAGCUCAAAUCUUCUGGAAAGGAGUGUCAGAGAGGGUGAGAACCCCGUCGGUUCCUGUCUUUGUUGCUUCACGAGGUGCUUUCAAAGAGUCGUGUUGCUUGGGAAUGCAGCACUAAUUGGGUGGUAAUCCCAUCUAA
rnacentral:rRNA from 1 species